UGAAUUCAUGUUGUCUUAACGCUUUGU
rnacentral:piRNA from 1 species